rnacentral:rRNA from 1 species
CCUACGGGAGGCUGCAGUGGGGAAUAUUGCACAAUGGGCGCAAGCCUGAUGCAGCCAUGCCGCGUGUGUGAAGAAGGCCUUCGGGUUGUAAAGCACUUUCAGCGGGGAGGAAGGCGUUAAGGUUAAUAACCUUGUCGAUUGACGUUACCCGCAGAAGAAGCACCGGCUAACUCCGUGCCAGCAGCCGCGGUAAUACGGAGGGUGCAAGCGUUAAUCGGAAUUACUGGGCGUAAAGCGCACGCAGGCGGUCUGACAAGUCGGAUGUGAAAUCCCCGGGCUCAACCUGGGAACUGCAUUCGAAACUGGCAGGCUAGAGUCUUGUAGAGGGGGGUAGAAUUCCAGGUGUAGCGGUGAAAUGCGUAGAGAUCUGGAGGAAUACCGGUGGCGAAGGCGGCCCCCUGGACAAAGACUGACGCUCAGGUGCGAAAGCGUGGGGAGCAAACAGGAUUAGAUACCCCAGGAGUU